UACGAAGGGGGCUAGCGUUGCUCGGAAUUACUGGGCGUAAAGGGAGCGUAGGCGGACAUUUAAGUCAGGGGGUGAAAUCCCAGAGCUCAACUCUGGAACUGCCUUUGAUACUGGGUGUCUUGAGUGUGAGAGAGGUAUGUGGAACUCCGAGUGUAGAGGUGAAAUUCGUAGAUAUUCGGAAGAACACCAGUGGCGAAGGCGACAUACUGGCUCAUUACUGACGCUGAGGCUCGAAAGCGUGGGGAGCAAACAGG
rnacentral:rRNA from 1 species